rnacentral:rRNA from 1 species
UACGUAGGGUGCGAGCGUUGUCCGGAAUUAUUGGGCGUAAAGAGCUUGUAGGCGGUCUGUCGCGUCUGCUGUGAAAAUCCGGGGCUCAACCCCGGACUUGCAGUGGGUACGGGCAGACUAGAGUGUGGUAGGGGAGACUGGAAUUCCUGGUGUAGCGGUGAAAUGCGCAGAUAUCAGGAGGAACACCGAUGGCGAAGGCAGGUCUCUGGGCC